AGUAACUGCGAGUGAAGCGGGAAAAGCUCAAAUUUAAAAUCUGGUGGCCUUUGGUCAUCCGAGUUGUAAUUUAGAGAAGCGUCUUCCGCGUUGGACCGUGCACAAGUCUCCUGGAAUGGAGCGUCAUAGAGGGUGAGAAUCCCGUCUUUGGCACGGACCCCAAGGCUUCUGUGAUGCGCUCUCGAAGAGUCGAGUUGUUUGGGAAUGCAGCUCAAAAUGGGUGGUGAACUCCAUCUNAAGCUAAAUAUUGGCGAGAGACCGAUAGCGAACAAGUACCGUGAGGGAAAGAUGAAAAGCACUUUGGAAAGAGAUUGAAACAGUACGUGAAAUUGUUGAAAGGGAAACGCUUGAAGUCAGUCGCGUCGACCGAGACUCAGCCUUGCCUCGGCUUGGUGUACUUCUCGGCCGACGGGUCAGCAUCAAUUUUGCCCCUUGGAUAAUGGCGAGGGAAAUGUGACACCUUUGCGGGUGUGUUAUAGUCCCCCGUCGCAUGCAAGGGUCGGGAUUGAGGAACUCAGCACGCGCCUUUUGGUGUCGGGGCUUUGCCCACGAUACGUGCUUAGGAUGUUGGCGUAAUGGCUUUAAACGACCCGUCUUGAAACACGGACCAAGGAGUCUAACAUGCCCGCGAGUGUUCGGGUGGAAAACCCGUGCGCGCAAUGAAAGUGAAAGUUGGGACCUCUGUCGUGGAGGGCACCGACGCCCGGACCAGACCUUCUGUGACGGAUCUGCGGUGGAGCGUGUAUGUUAGGACCCGAAAGAUGGUGAACUAUGCCUGAAUAGGGUGAAGCCAGAGGAAACUCUGGUGGAGGCUCGUAGCGAUUCUGACGUGCAAAUCGAUCGUCAAAUUUGGGUAUAGGGGCGAAAGACUAAUCGAACCAU
rnacentral:rRNA from 1 species